UCUUAUGUUCCUAUUUUAGCUGUAAAGAUAGUUUGCCAUUUAUAUCAUGAGACUUGAUAAAAUAAAUAAUUUCUUGGUGGAGUCUCUGCAAGUUAGCCAUAAAUUUCUUCAGCAUUUUGCUCUACCAAAGUGAGGAAUAUAUCUUAGAUUAUAAGGUAGUAUAAUAUAACAAACGUAGUGUAAUAUAACAACAUGUAAUAUUAGAUCCAUAAGUGACUCUUGUGUUUUGUGGGGGAAAUGAUUGUGUUAAAAUUUAUUUAUAACUCUGUCAGUAUUGCUGGUUAAAAGUCUGUUUCAAAGUGAUGUUCUUGACUUAAAAACCCCAAGCACUAACAUCAUUUUUCAACACUGUUCUUCAGAAACCUGGUGCUCCUAUUUAAUAAGUCUGAGGGCUCCAGAAGAUAAUGUCAAUGCUACUGAUAUUUCUCCCUCUAAAAUAUUAAGUACGAAAUUACUUAAAUGUGCAAAAAUAUUAUUUAUUCUAUACAAUAAUUCUGGGGAUAUGGAAGUAGGCCUAAUUUGUUCCUUUUUUAACUGCCAAAUCUCCUUGGCUUUUCUUCAUGGGAAUAUUUUAUGGCUGCCCUGGAACACCAUUUAUGGGUCAUAUUAAUAUGUUUUGAGUCCCAAAGUGUUCACCGAGCAAAUUAAUUUGGGAAAUGUUGCACUCAGUUGGGUUUUUUUGAACUGAAAGAAAAAUUAUUUUUUGCUAUAGUUUCUUUAAUAAAGGUGACCCCAGCAGACAGGAAAAGGAUAAUAACUUAGGACUUUGUUAGUCUCUCUCUCAAAAAGAAAAAUGGAUAUGGUAUCCUCUCUCUCCACAGCAGAAAACCCACAUUUUUUUUGAAAUAUCUCUUCAUAAGACACAAAUGUCUUUAAAACACUGCAAGAAAAUGUUUGUAGAUACUAAUACUUUGCUUAUUUCCUUGAAAAGGUCAAUUUCUGACCUCUGCAGACUUCUAUUAAAAAGUGGUGAGAAGCUGAAAAUGAGAUGGAAAUAAGAUACGAAU
rnacentral:lncRNA from 1 species